rnacentral:rRNA from 1 species
AUUGCUAUUGGGAUCCGACUAAGCCAUGCAAGUCUUCCGAGAGGAGGCGUACCGCUGAGUAACACGUGGGUAAUCUACCUUUAGGUGGGGUAUAACCUCGGGAAACUGAGGAUAAUCCCCCAUAGGUUCUGGAUACUGGAAUGUUCCAAAACCGAAAGCUUCGGCGCCUAAAGAUGAGCCUGCGGCUGAUCAGGUAGUUGGUGGGGUAACGGCCCACCAAGCCAUUGACCAGUAGGGGCAGUGAGAGCUGUAGCCCCCAGACGAGAACUGAGAUACUUUCUCGAGCCCUACGGGGUGCAGCAGGCGCGCAACCUUUACAAUGCACGCAAGUGUGAUAAGGGGAUCCCAAGUGCGUAUGUUUUUCAUACGCUUUUCUGGAGUGUAAAAAGCUCUAGGAAUAAGAGCUGGGUAAGACGGGUGCCAGCCGCCGCGGUAAUACCCGCAGCUCGAGUUAUCUGGAGUUUUAUUGGGUCUAAAGCGUUCGUAGCCGGUUAUACAAGUUCCCUGUGAAAUCUGACCGCUUAACGGUUAGGCGUGCAGAGAAUACUGUAUAACUAGGGAGUGGAAUGGGCUAGAGGAACUUCUGGGGUAGGGGUGAAAUCCAAUAAUCCUGGGGGGACCAUCUGUGGCGAAGGCGUCUAGCUAAGACACGUCCGACGGUGAGGAACGAAAGCUAGGGGAGCAAAUCGGAUUAGAUACCCGAGUAGUCCUAGCCGUAAAUGAUGCAGACUAGGUGUUGCUUGUUCUUCUUGAGCAGGCAGUGCCGAAGGGAAGCCGUUAAGUCUGCCACCUGGGAAGUACGGUCGCAAGGCUGAAACUUAAAGGAAUUGACGGGGGAGCACCACAAGGGGUGGAGCUUGCGGUUUAAUUGGAUAUUACGCCGGAAAUCUUACCAGGGGCGACAACAGAAUGAAGGUCAGCCUGAUGAGCUUACUCGACUCGUUGAGAGGUAGUGCAUGGCCGCCGUCAGUUCGUGCCUUGAGGUGUUCGGUUAAGUCCGACAACGAACAAGACCCACGUUUCUAGUUGCUAUUCAUCUCUCCGGAGGUGAAGCACUCUAGCGAGACCGCUGGUGAUAAACCAGAGGAAGGAGUGGUCAACGGUAGGUCAGUAUGCUCCGAAUCUCCUGGGCUACACGCGAGCUACAAUGAUCGGGACAAUGAGCUGCGACCCCGAAAGGGGAAGCCAAUCUCUAAACCCGACCCAAGUUCCGAUCGAGGGUUGUAACUCACCCUCGUGAAGCCGGAAUCCCUAGUAAUCGGACGUCACUAGCGUCCGGUGAAUACGUCCCUGCUCCUUGUACACACCGCCCGUCAAAUCACCUGAAUUGGGCCUGGGUGAGGCUCUGUCCUUUGGCAGACUCAAACCUGAGCUCGGUAAGGGGGGUU